rnacentral:lncRNA from 1 species
UCUAUUUAGACAGCUCUUUUUGUUUUUCUGUUCCUACAGGAAAUAGUAGAACAAAAUGAAGAGCAGAAUGAAUUCUUCACCAAAUUCUUUGCCAAGUAUCCAGAAAUAAAUGCUAUUCAACUGCAGAAGAUCCUGAACCGAAUGACCUGGUCAAGUCUGGGGAACAGACAGCCCUUCUUCAGCUUUGAUGCCUGCCAGGGGAUCCUGGCCCUCCUGGACGUAUCUUUUCAGGUUUGUGGGUGGGUGUGUGCUG